GCGGCCACCGCUAUCAAGUUCCGACUAAGCCAUGCGAGUCAAGGUAUCGUAAGAUGCCGGCAAACUGCUCAGUAACACGUGGAUAAUCUAACCUUGAGUAAGGGAUAACCUCGGGAAACUGAGGAUAAUACCUUAUAAUUGCUUAAAACUGGAAUGUUUAAGCAAUAAAAGUUCCGACGCUCAAGGAUGAGUCUGCGACCUAUCAGGUAGUAGGUGGUGUAAUGGACCACCUAGCCUCAGACGGGUACGGGCCCUGGGAGGGGUAGCCCGGAGAUGGACUCUGAGACAUCAGUCCAGGCCCUACGGGGCGCAGCAGGCGCGAACACUGUGCAAUGCGCGAAAGCGCGACACGGGGAGCUUGAGUGUCUUGGCAUAGCCAAGACUUUUCUCAUUCCUAAAAAGCAUGAGGAAUAAGUGCUGGGUAAGACGGGUGCCAGCCGCCGCGGUAACACCCGCAGCACAAGUGGUGGUCACUUUUAUUGAGCCUAAAGCGUUCGUAGCCGGUUUUGUAAAUCUUUAGAUAAAGCCUGAAGCUUAACUCCAGAAAGUCUGAAGAGACUGCAAGACUUGAGAUCGGGUGAGGUUAAACGUACUUUCAGGGUAGGGGUAAAAUCCUGUAAUCCCGGAAGGACGACCAGUGGCGAAAGCGUUUAACUAGAACGAAUCUGACGGUAAGGAACGAAGGCUAGGGUAGCAAACCGGAUUAGAUACCCGGGUAGUCCUAGCUGUAAACACUGCCCAUUUGAUGUUGCUUUUCCGUUGAGGGAAGGCAGUGUCGGAGCGAAGGUGUUAAAUGGGCCGCUUGGGAAGUAUGGUCGCAAGACUGAAACUUAA
rnacentral:rRNA from 1 species